UUGUACUGAGGUACACUCCAUUUUCUUUUUUAAGAAAGUGCUCCAAUUUUGCAAUGCCAGAACCAGCUAAAUCGGCCCCGGCCCCUAAAAAGGGCUCCAAGAAGGCGGUGACCAAGGCGCAGAAGAAGGAUGGCAAAAAGCGCAAGCGAAGCCGCAAGGAGAGCUACUCGGUCUAUGUAUACAAGGUACUAAAGCAGGUCCAUCCAGAUACCGGCAUCUCAUCCAAGGCCAUGGGCAUUAUGAAUUCGUUUGUCAACGACAUCUUCGAGCGCAUCGCCGGCGAGGCAUCGCGCCUGGCGCAUUAUAAUAAGCGGUCGACCAUCACAUCCAGGGAGAUUCAGACAGCCGUGCGGCUGCUGUUGCCCGGGGAGCUAGCCAAGCACGCCGUGUCCGAGGGCACCAAGGCCGUCACUAAGUAUACCAGCUCCAAAUAAAUUUGCCAAGUAAGCCUCUAUACUUAAUCCUAAAGGCUCUUUUAAGAGCCACCCACUAUGUCAUUUAAAAGGCUGUGGCUAGAAUUCUCCACCCCCACAAGUUCUUGUUUUCCGGGCUUUCAGUUUCUCGGUUUUAUCCUCUGUUGACCAGGAGUGAAUGUAGAACCUUAUAUCCUGUUGAGUGGUUUUAAACAGGAUGGGUUGGAGAUUUCGACAAAACGAUUCUCGCUCGCUCUCGGUUUGUGAACUGCGGUUUGAGCUUGAAGGAGCAAAUAAUAGCCCUUCUCUCGCAAAUCACCUUAUGGAUAUAAAUGAAUGAAAGAAUGAAGGAAGGAAGGCAGCCAACAAAGCAAACAUCAACCGAGGAAAAUAGAGAAAUGUUG